rnacentral:rRNA from 1 species
GCGAACGCCGGGCGAGGAGCGGCGGUAAAACAGGGGUUGCAAGCGUUAAUCGGAAUGACUGGGCGUAAAGGGUGCGCAGGCGGCUUAGUAAGUCAGAGGUGAAAUCCCUAGGCUCAACCGAGGAACUGCAGUGGAAACUAAUAAACUAGAGUAUCGUAGAGGGAGGUAGAAUUCCAGGUGUAGCGGUGAAAUGCGUAGAUAUCUGGAGGAAUACCAGUGGCGAAGGCGACCUCCUGGACGAAAACUGACGCUCAAGCACGAAAGCAUGGGGAGCAAACAGGAUUAGAUACCCGUGUAGUC